GAAAUGUGCUGGGGGUGCCUAAAAGGCUGAGAAAAGUUGAACUUUAACCCUUUGAACCUGAUGCGGUUAAAACUGCCGGAGGAAAGCUUUAAUGGACGUUC
rnacentral:ncRNA from 2 species